AACGAACGCUGGCGGCAGGCCUAAAACAUGCAAGUCGAACGGGUGUAGCAAUACAUCAGUGGCGCACGGGUGAGUAACGCGUGGGAACGUGCCCUUCAGUACGGGACAACGUCGGGAAACUGACGCUAAUACCGUAUAAUGACUCCGGUCCAAAGAUUUAUCGCUGAAGGAGCGGCCCGCGUCUGAUUAGCUAGUUGGUGAGGUAAUGGCUCACCAAGGCUACGAUCAGUAGCAGGUCUGAGAGGAUGAUCUGCCACACUGGGACGUGAGACACGGCCCACGAACUCCUACCGGGAGGGCGAGCAGUU
rnacentral:rRNA from 1 species